UACGUAGGGUGCGAGCGUUGUCCGGAAUUAUUGGGCGUGAAAGAGCUUGUAGGCCGGUUUGUCGCGUCUGCUGUGAAAAUCCGGGGCUCAACCCCGGACUUGCAGUGGGUACGGGCAGACUAGAGUGUGGUAGGGGAGACUGGAAGUUCCUGGUGUAGCGGUGAAAUGCGCAGAUAUCAGGAGGAACACCGGUGGCGAAGGCGGGUCUCUGGGCCGAUACUGACGCUGAGGAGCGAAAGCGUGGGGAGCGAACAGG
rnacentral:rRNA from 1 species